rnacentral:rRNA from 1 species
GUAGUCUGCAACCCGACUACAUGAAGCUGGAAUCGCUAGUAAUCGCGGAUCAGAAUGCCGCGGUGAAUACGUUCCCGGGUCUUGUACACACCGCCCGUCACACCAUGGGAGUCGGAAAUGCCCGAAGUCUGUGACCGAACCGAAAGGAAGGAGCAGCCGAAGGCAGGUCGGAUGACUGGGGUGAAGUCGUAACAAGGUAUC